rnacentral:lncRNA from 1 species
UCCUCCUUUCAGCGGCUUGGCGAUAUCUCCUCCUUUCAGCAGCUCGGCGAUAUCUCCUCCUUUCAGCGACUCGGCGAUAUCUCCUCCUUUGAAUAUUUUGAACGUGGAAAUGUGUGUAGCAAUCUAUCUCUCUUUUUGUCUCUGUCCAAAAAAAAGUUCCCCGAAUUUGAUUUCGGUUCCCGUAUUUAUAAUGGGAGGGGAGGGGUUAGUUAAGAAUUCAAAAUUCGAAAUUCGAAUUUUGAAUUAUUUGUUGGAUGAUUGGAGGAUAUUUGGGGAGUGGUUGGGAAUUAAAUUUUGAAUGAGUUGUUGGAUAGUUGGGAGAUAUUGUGGGAGUUGGUUGAAGGUUCGAAAUUCGAAAUUCGAAUUUUGAACGGAUUCUCCAAAGUUGAGCAGGAUGCAAAAAAUU